rnacentral:lncRNA from 1 species
UCCAUUUUUCAUAUAAAUUGGACGAUACAGCCAAUCAUUUACUUUCAUAAAAAACUAUCUUAAGAAAACCAAUUCUUCUCUUGUUGCAUAAUUCCCUUCCCCACAUCAUGUCUACGAAGAGUGUAUUUUUUCUCCUAUCGGUUAUAUGCUUUACAAAUUCUGUGAAUGCUCAAUUACCUUCGUUUUGGCCUAACGUGACCCAAUGCCUAUCAACAUUGAAAAAUAUUCCGGGAUGUUUUGAAGGGAUCACUCAGUCUAUAUUGACUGGUAAAAUUGGUACGAUAACUCCUUAUUGUUGUCAACUUUUUUUGGGAGCUGUACCCGACUGUUUAGAACUACUUCCUGUCAAUCCUUUUCCUCCUAUGUUAAUGCAGAAAUGCUCCCAUAAUAUUUAAGAUUAUAUUUUAAAAUAGUUAUGUAAAAUUACAUUUUCUACAUAAGGGUUAAAUCCAAUAAUAUUCAAGAACAAAAAGAAGAUCUGAUAAUUCUAAUGUUCCUUUCUUAUAUUUUAGUGUCUGUAGCUUUCAUAUAAUAAUGCUUAUUAUUAUUUGAUUAAGAGAAUAUCCUUUUAAUAUCAAAAAUAUAUAUCAAUGAAGUUUAAGAAUAUGAUAAAUAUAAUUCCAAAGACAUGUCACUGAGGUUGGUUAAUGAAUGAAUCAUUUGUCUUUCUUUUCCAAAGUUGGUUAAUGAAUGAAUCAUUUGUCUUUCUUUUCCAACUUCAGUUUUCUAAUAACAUGACAAAAAAAAUUGACAACGAUUAAAAGUAGAGAAAAUAAAAGAGAAACUAGAUAGAUACGUUUUUUUUAACUUCAGUUUUCUAAUAACAUGACAAAAAAAAUUGACAAUGAUUAAAAGUAGAGAAAAUAAAAGAGAAACUAGAUAGAUACGUUUUUUUCUAACGCUGAUUUAUUAUGAUAUUACAAUUAUAAUAUAAGAAAGAUUACAUAGACGAUUCGACAACCGAUGAUAUUACCUGCUUCAUGAGUACUUACGCAUAACUGCAUCACCUGAGCCACCUAUGAAAAUCCACGUCUGACCAGAUUUAGUUGCACCAUGUUGAAGAUCAUUUGUAAGCAUUUCUUCCGUAGUCUGCAUAAUUAUUUAAUAAAUCGCUCUCUCCGGAACUUGAAACCUGGAUUUCAUGUAAUCAGUGAAAAAAAUGUAUAGUCAGGGAUUAGAUCCCCAGACCUAGAUGUAGAAACUUUUAAACUUUAACCAGUAGGCUACGGUGUUUCCACGAUAGAUGGAUCUAACACAAGUAUUUUUGUCACACUCUUUGUGUAGUUGCGAUAUAGCUGGCGGAGAUUGCCACACCCAGUAGAAGACAAACUUCAAAAUCGCUCAUCACACCUAUUUGGUCCAUAAGUUUCCGAUAGCAAGUCUAAUUUUUCAUCUAUAAUACCGCAAACACAUCCAUUAUACUUACCAAAUUAUACAAAAUUUACUUGACUGAUAUGAAUAUAUAUCUCGCAAGCACAAAAAGCCAGCAACAUACAUUUCAAGGAAACAUAAACUUCGUAGUUUGUGGGAGUAAAGGCAUCUAUGUUGUAAUAAAAAACCUAACCACAAUCAGAGCCGGACCUGAGAUUACGAGACUCAUCUAAAAAAAUACAAUUUUAUUUUUAAUAUGAAGACAUAAAUUUUAUAUUAAUUGAUAUAAAGAUGUCUAUUCAUUAGGUCAAUCACAAAUUUUAAUUUUUUUUAUUACAACUAAUUUUAACCGAACAUCACCAAAUUUCUUCAAAAUUACAAUAAUAAUAUCCACUAAGCAUUAUUUGAGAAGUAAUUUGACACAUAUUCUUUCUACAAUUAUUUUCAUAAAAGAAAUGUGACAUGACUAUUAAAAUUGAUGACAAGGCUUAUUGCUAAAUAUGACAUUAUAAAUUACAUUAAUUAUUGAUUUAUAUUUUUAGUAAAUCUUUUAUAAUAUAUAUGAUAAUAACUCAUACAUUAGAUUUAAUGUUGAUUUAUAUUUUUGGUAAUUUUUUUAGAAUAUGACAAUAACUCAUACUUUUUUGUCAACAAUAAUAACUCAUACAUCAUUACUAAAAUAAAUAUAUUCAAAUAUGAAAUUAUAAUUUUUGAAAUAUUAUUCAAUUAUAUAUUUUAUAAUUUCUACAAUUUUGCUUAAAACAUUAUAAAUUUUAAUCAUUAAAUCAUUAGUUUCCUUAUAUAUUUAGAAAUUUUAGAAAUGCUGUUUAAUUUUAAUUUUUGAUAAUUAUACAAUUUUAUAUCAAUUUUUUUAUUAAUUUUAUGCAAGUUGAUUUAAUAUAUUUAACCAAAAGAAAUAGAUAAAAAAAUCUAUCUAAGAUUAUAUAUAUAUAUAUAUAUGCAUUCUUAAAUAUAAUUUAAAAAUAAUAAAUUAUUUUUAAAUCUAUUUCAUGUUUAAUUAAAUCAAAUUUACAUUAAAAUAUUGAUAAGAAAAUAAUAAAAUUUACAUUAUUAAUAAAAUUUUAUUUUUAAAUAUAAUUUCAAUUUAAAUUUUUUAUUGAUGCACAUGGUGCAUGAAAACACUUACUAUAAUAAUACAUUUGCUAAAUAAAUUUAACUCUUAUCUUCCAAAAAGAAAACAAAUCUAAGUUAUUAUUAUGAUCAAACAGAAAUUCUUACACUCACAUAUCACAUUCACACAGGUUCAAAGAGAAGAAAAAAAAAGGAUUCAAAAGAAAAAAGCAAUGCAUGAGUCAUAUACAUAUUUAAAAUAUUAAUUAUGUAAGUUAUAAUUCAUGCUUAUUAUAUGAUAUUGACAUUAAAAAAUAUUUGGAUUCACUUUAAGUUCUAUUUUAAGGCAAUACUCUACGCGGUAGUUAUUAACUAAUAAAAUCAUGGUAACGUACCACAGUGCGGAUAGGUAGCAAAAGUUAUAAAGCUUAUCCACUGUGGAAAAUUCUGAGUUUCUUCUGUUUCUUUGAUUAAGGAGAUCUCUAUGCAACUUUUCCUCAAAUUAUUAAUUUAUACAUUUUGUUUUUUGAAAAAAUGUUAAAUUAAUUCAAACAAAAAAUACUGUUUACAAUCAAGGUUGCUUGUUUUAAGUUCAAAAGAAACUAAAACUUUGCUUUACAUUAGAAAAUAAGAUCAUGUAAAGGAGAACCAAGUUCCCAUAGCAUAGAUCCCUGGUAAGCUGAGUUGUGGCGACAUAUGAUGCUUGAGAUACGAUUUUGAACUUGUUUGUCGAUGAUUUUUAAUUUAUGAAAUUACAUCACAUGUGAACAUAUAAAGUGAAUUUCAGCUAUUCGGAUAUGGACAUAUCUAUAUAUAUCUCUUAGAAUAUAUUCUCACUAAUUUGCAUAUAUCUUAUAAAUCUAGUUUAGGAAUGAAAACCUUGUAUAAAGAGAAUGUCUUGGACCUAAAGAUUGAUACAGAAAACCUUUUACGAUACUCUUGUUUUCUGACAUAGCAUCAGAGCCAGGUUUUCUGACAUGGUAUCUUGUUAAAAUUUACACAAUUAAAAUAAGUACAUGAACCCAAACCUGAACUGAACCUGCAAUGAUCCAAACCAUAUUCAAACCGAAAUUUGUAAAUAUUUAAAUCAUAUUUAAAUUUCUAACUAUAAAAAACUGAUAUCUGAAUAGAUUAACUAAAUUCGAAUAGAUAUCUGAUUCUAGAAAAAAAUAUCAACAAAUCUCUUAUUACAAGCAAAGUAAAUAAUUUAAUCAAUUAUUUUAUUCUGCGCACAACGCGGAUUACUAUCUAGUUUAUAAGAAAAAUGGUGAAGAGAUUCUAAACAUAAAGCGUGCAAAAAAAACUUAUAUGAGUAUUAUGAUAAAGAUUUCUUAACACAUUUGUGCAUGGUCAAUACUGAAUAGUAUAGAUUGUUUCUAUUAUUAUAUCAAUCUCGCAUGUGGUCAAUUAGUAUAUUUUCUUUCCUAUUAUUAUUGUAUCGAUAUUAUAUGUGUCAAUAGUAUAUAUUCUCUUUCCUAUUAUCAUUGUUUUUAUUAAUUGUAUCAUACUCCAUUUUUCAUAUAAAUUGGACGAUACAGCCAAUCAUUUACUUUCAUAAAAAACUAUCUUAAGAAAACCAAGUCUUCUCUUGUUGCAUAAUUCCCUUCCCCACAUCAUGUCUAUGAAGAGUGUAUUUUUUCUCCUAUCGGUUAUAUGCUUUGCAAAUUCUGUGAAUGCUCAAUUACCUUCGUUUUGGCCUAACGUGACCCAAUGCCUAUCAACAUUGAAAAAUAUUUCGGGAUGUUUUGAAGGGAUCACUCAGUCUAUAUUGACUGGUAAAAUUGGUACGAUAACUCCUUAUUGUUGUAGACUUUUUUUGGGAGCUGUACCCGACUGUUUAGAACUACUUCCUGUCAAUCCUUUUCCUCCUAUGUUAAUGCAGAAAUGCUCCCAUAAUAUUUAAGAUUAUAUUUUAAAAUAGUUAUGUAAAAUUACAUUUUCUACAUAAAGGUUAAAUCCAAUAAUAUUCAAGAACAAAAGGAAGAUCUGAUAAUUCUAA